AGUGAACGCUGGCGGUAGGCCUAACACAUGCAAGUCGAACGGCAGCACAGUAAGAGCUUGCUCUUACGGGUGGCGAGUGGCGGACGGGUGAGGAAUACAUCGGAAUCUACUUUUUCGUGGGGGAUAACGUAGGGAAACUUACGCUAAUACCGCAUACGACCUACGGGUGAAAGCAGGGGAUCUUCGGACCUUGCGCGAUUGAAUGAGCCGAUGUCGGAUUAGCUAGUUGGCGGGGUAAAGGCCCACCAAGGCGACGAUCCGUAGCUGGUCUGAGAGGAUGAUCAGCCACACUGGAACUGAGACACGGUCCAGACUCCUACGGGAGGCAGCAGUGGGGAAUAUUGGACAAUGGUCGCAAGCCUGAUCCGGCCAUACCGCGUGGGUGAAGAAGGCCUUCGGGUUGUAAAGCCCUUUUGUUGGGAAAGAAAAGCAGCAGGUUAAUACCCCGCUGUUCUGACGGUACCCAAAGAAUAAGCACCGGCUAACUUCGUG
rnacentral:rRNA from 1 species